GUGUUUUAAACAAAAGCAUUCAUACAAUUUUUUUAAAAACAUAAACAUAAUAACAUUUUCAGUCAGGUAGUAUAACGGAAUAGAUGCAAAAACAAACACGUUCCUUUAAUAACUACAAUUCGAAUAAUUCUCUAGACAAAGAUUAAUGAAUAGAUCAAUUAUAAUGUACUAAAUUUUAAAGUAAUCAUAUAUCCAACAUAUGAAGGA
rnacentral:lncRNA from 1 species